GGCAAGAUGGCCGAGCGGUCCAAGGCGUGUGACUCAAGCGAAUUAGCUUGCCUGCGAUAGCGGGUUCAGGUCUUCUCAUCAGGGUAUCCUGGCGUGGGUUCAAAUCCCACUCUUGUCA
rnacentral:tRNA from 1 species